UACGUAGGGCGCAAGCGUUGUCCGGAAUUAUUGGGCGUAAAGAGCUCGUAGGCGGCUUGUCACGUCGAUUGUGAAAGCCCGAGGCUUAACCUCGGGUCUGCAGUCGAUACGGGCUAGCUAGAGUGUGGUAGGGGAGAUCGGAAUUCCUGGUGUAGCGGUGAAAUGCGCAGAUAUCAGGAGGAACACCGGUGGCGAAGGCGGAUCUCUGGGCCAUUACUGACGCUGAAGCACGAAAGCGUGGGGAGCAAACAGG
rnacentral:rRNA from 1 species